rnacentral:misc_RNA from 1 species
GAUGAAGAACGUAGCGAAACGCGAUAAGUAAUGUGAAUUGCAGAAUCCAGUGAAUCAUCGAAUCUUUGAACGCACAUUGCGCCCGCCAGCAUUCUGGCGGGCAUGCCUGUGCGAGCGUCAUUUCAACCCUCGACCUCCCCUUGGGGAGGUCGGCGUUGGGGACCGGCAGCACACCGCCGGCCCUGAAAUGGAGUGGCGGCCCGUCCGCGGCGACCUCUGCGCAGUAAUACAGCUCGCACCGGGACCCCGACGCGGCCACGCCGUAAAACACCCAACUUCUGAACGUUGACCUCGAAUCAGGUAGGACUACCCGCUGAACUUAAGCAUAUCAAUAAGCGGAGGA